AUGUGAUGAAAUAACCUGAAAUAGCUGGAAUUACCGGCAGAUGGUAUGGUGGUGAGUCUGGUUUUCUGAAG
rnacentral:snoRNA from 15 species